rnacentral:rRNA from 1 species
AUGCGCCACCUUCCACUUCCCCUCUCUCUCCGCUUCCUUUUGUCUACUCCCGUCGUGCUCGGCACCCUUCUCCCUCGGAUGCGCCCACUUCCACUUCCACUCCUUCCCUGUUGGGUCCCAUUCCUUCAGAACCACCUACCCCUCCUGCUCCUCGGUAUAAUCUGCGUGAUCGCCACACUCUCCAGCCUCCUGCGUACUAUGUUGCUGCUGCUACCACUCUUGUUGAGCCGUCUACGUAUCGUGAGGCUGCUGCUCAUUCUGAAUGGCAGCAUGCUAUGGCAGAGGAAAUUCAUGCUCUUGAGCGCACAGGCACUUGGGACCUUGUACCCCUGCCUACAGGCGUUAGACCCAUCACUUGCAAAUGGGUCUACAAGGUUAAGACACAUUCAGAUGGUUCUCUCGUGCGCUACAAAGCUCGCCUUGUUGCGCGUGGAUUCCAGCAGGAGUAUGGUCGUGACUAUGAUGAGACUUUUGCUCCUGUUGCUCACAUGA